rnacentral:rRNA from 1 species
AUACGGAGGCUGCAAGCGUUAAUCGGAAUUACUGGGCGUAAAGCGUGCGUAGGUGGUUUGUUAAGUCAGAUGUGAAAGCCCCGGGCUCAACCUAGGAACUGCAUUUGAAACUGGCAUACUAGAGUAUAGGAGAGGAAAGUGGAAUUUCAGGUGUAGCGGUGAAAUGUGUAGAUAUCUGAAGGAACAUCAAUGGCGAAGGCAGCUUUCUGGACUAAUACUGACACUGAGGUACGAAAGCGUGGGUAGCAAACAGGAUUAGAAACCCUAGUAGUCC